AAGGGCUUAGCUUAAUUAAAGCGUUUGAUUUGCAUUCAAUAGAUGUGGGAUAAGUUCUUGCAGUCCUUA
rnacentral:tRNA from 1 species